rnacentral:rRNA from 1 species
AGCGAACGCUGGCGGUAGGCCUAACACAUGCAAGUCGAACGGCAGCACAGUAAGAGCUUGCUCUUACGGGGGGCGAGUGGCGGACGGGUGAGGAAUACAUCGUGAUCUACUUUUUCGUGGGGGAUAACGUAGGGAAACUUACGCUAAUACCGCAUACGACCUACGGGUGAAAGCAGUGGAUCGUCUGACCUGUCGCGAUUGAAUGAGCCGCUGUGGGAUUAGUUAGUUGGCGGGGUAAAGGCCCACCAAGGCGACGAUCCGUAGCUGGACUGAGAGGAUGGUCGGCCGCACUGGAACUUGGACAGCGUCCAGAGGACUACGGGACGCAGCAGUGGGGAAUAUUGGACAAUAGGCGCAAGCCUGGUCCAGCCAUCCCGCGUGGGUGACAGAGGCGUUCGGGUUGUAAAGCCCUUUUGUUGGGUGAGAACAGCAGCAGGUUAAUACGACGCUGUUGUGACGGUACCCAAAGAAUAAGCACCGGCUAACUUCGUG